UACGAAGGGGGCUAGCGUUGCUCGGAAUCACUGGGCGUAAAGCGCACGUAGGCGGAUUGUUAAGUCAGGGGUGAAAUCCUGGAGCUCAACUCCAGAACUGCCUUUGAUACUGGCGAUCUCGAGUCCGGGAGAGGUGAGUGGAACUGCGAGUGAGAGGUGAAAUUCGUAGAUAUUCGCAAGAACACCAGUGGCGAAGGCGGCUCACUG
rnacentral:rRNA from 1 species